AUACGUAGGUGACAAGCGUUAUCCGGAUUUACUGGGCGUAAAGGGCGUGUAGGCGGUCUUGCAAGUCAGAAGUGAAAUUCCUGAGCUCAACUCGGGCGCUGCUUCUGAAACUGCAGGACUUGAGUGCUGGAGGGGAUGGCGGAAUUCCUAGUGGAGCGGUAAAAUGCGCAGAGAUUAGGAAGAACACCGGUGGCGAAGGCGGCUUACUGGACAGUAACAGACGCUGAGGUGCGAAAGCGUGGGGAACAAACAGGGUUAGAUACCCUGGUGGUCCACGCCGUAAACGAUGAAUACUAGGUGUAGUGGGUAUCGACUCCCUCUGUGCCGCAGUUAACACAAUAAGUAUUCCGCCUGGGGAGUGCGGCCGCAAGGUUGAAACUCAAAGGAAUUGACGGGG
rnacentral:rRNA from 1 species